CGCAGGAGCGCAUCCCUCAGUGAGCGGCGGCUGGUCGGCCCACGACCACGUGGACUGGGGCGCACGCCGGGCCACUCGGGGCCGCGCCGGGCGGUAGAGUGACGUUGCGGGGACCGCCCCCGCGCCCUGUGUGAGUCGUGACGCCCAGGCGUCGGCUCCAUCUACCCUAGACUGUGCCCGGCUGUGGGACGGGCGCCGCAGGGACUGCGCCUUUUCCGGACCCCCGCCCCCGCGCUCCGUCGCCGAGGUCCCCGAAGGCGGCGGCCCGAGCCUUGCGAGCACUUACACCGUCGUCUAGCGAGGCUCGGAGCGCGACAAGCAGCUGCAGGCGACCCCGCCCAGGCUAAGCCUUCGGGACCCGCACUGGUCACCCGCCUCUCAGGGUCCCGUUUGGCCCACUCGGUCCCCCGGUGGUGGCAGGGGCGGCAGCACGGAUGAAUCCGGCGCAGGGCUGUGUGACCUUUGAGGAUGUGUUCGUGUACUUCUCCCGGGAGGAGUGGGAACUCCUUGAGGAGGCUCAGAGACUCCUGUACCGUGAUGUGAUGCUGGAGAACUUUGCACUUGUGUCCUCACUGGGACUUGCAGUUUCCAGGACCCAUGUUGUUUCCCAAAUGCAGCCGGAGGGGAACGCAGGGUGCCUGAGAAGGUAGAUGCAGUGGCAGCUACAGCAGAGAAGACCUGAAGGAGGCCCGGCCCCGGUGAGUGGAAGCCACGGGAAUGGUCGCAUCAGGGCUGGCUUCGCCUCCUACCAGCAACCUGUGCUGUAUCUCCUAGCGUUCUGAUGCCACAACCAGCGGCUGACCUCAUCCCACGUUUUCUUCCCCGUUUGUGACACUUUGCCCACUUACCACUUUUACUCUGUCCUCAGUCACCUGUUGGUCCCCCGCCCUUCCCAUCUCCACACCUUUUCCCCUCGUGGUGCUCCAUGCAGUGCUUUGCGGCAUUGGCUCUUUUUAACAGGUCGUGAGUUGUGCUCAUAUCCUUCAAUUUUCCUUGAAAACAAAGUAUUCCAUUCCAACCAGAAUUUUCUGGCCCAGGACAGACCCUUUUGCACAGCACUCAACGUCACAAGGAACAAGGCCUUGCCGGACGACCACUGGCAGGGGAGUGGUUUGGAGCCCCUGCCUCUCCUUAUCCUAUACUCCAUCCAUCCUUGUCCCCUCUCCCUGUGUGGUCUCCUUCAUUCUCUGACCUUUAGAGACCCGCGGCACACAGCUGCCCUUCCUCAUCCUGAUUCUGGCUCCCCUAUCGUGCCAGCGGCCCCAUGGACUACUUCCUGGUUGCAUCAGACACACAUUUGUUAUGGGGUGCCACAGGCCACCAAUUAAACCUGCACUUCACCGGCAUUUAUCUUCCGUCAGGCUGUCGGCAUGCAGUGAAGGAUGAGGCUACACCUUCUGAUGCUCCCCAUCAGUGGGUGUCACAGAUGAGAACUCCCCAGGCAGGUCCUUCCCCCCGAAAGGCUCACCCCUGUGACACAUGUGGCCCAUUCUUGACAGACAUCUUUGCACCUGGCUGAGCCACGGGGAACACCAUCUGGGCAACAUGGCAACACCAGCGCAAGAGUCCCUGUAGGAGAGACUUCUGGGUAGUAUAAAUCUUGACCAGAUGCAGAAGCAGUGGAGUGGAGAAAACUUUUUUAGAAAGUAAGGAGCCUGGCCUGAUUUGUGAAGGUCAGCAGAUGCCAUGGGGCGAAGAAGGCCCUUACCUGCAGGGAGGGUGGGAGGAACUCUGUGGUCAGCUGUGGACUUGUCCAGCACCAGGCCCUUCACGGUGGGGAGAAACCACACUGGGCCCUGAGCGUGGGGGGCCUUUUGUGUAUCCGAUUUCCUUUAGGCAAGAAAGCACAACCUGAGACCGUAAAGCCUUCCGCUUGUGGGAGGCAGCCUCACUCCAGGCUUGGUUGACUCAGAGCUUCUCAUGGGGCUCAUGGUUGGGGUGAACCGGGAACAACGAGGGCCAGCGGAGGGGUACUUGAGCCACACAGAGAGUCUCCCGGGGAAGGUGAGCUCCAAGCACAGCUAAUCUGCCUUCGAGGCUUUCACGGGAGCAAGUCUCAGUGGGGCGCCUUCCGUGAACCACUCACACAGUCCACGUAAAGCAUCGGUGGUCUACGGGAAGAAUCUACGAGAGGAAGGUUCAACAGAUGGUGGCGUGUUUGGCAACAGCAGUUGUGCUGAAGGGAAGCCCGGGACUGCACUGAACGUGAGAAAGCCUUUCUCGAGAAGGCAGGCCUCAGUGAGCACGUGAGGGUUUACCUCAAGUGAAGCCAUGGGAGAGUUUCCAAGUGCAGUAGGGCUUUCGGCUGUGGGCCAGACCUCCUGUGGCACAGGCAGAUUCACGCUGGGAGAAGCCUUAUGAAUGCCAGGAACGGAGGAGAAUCAGGGACAGCUCCGCUUUGUCCAGAAUAGUUUUGCCCACCCAAGAGAAAGUGUCUUCAAGUACAAAGUGAGCGGGUAAGCCUCUUGUGACCGCUGUUCUCUUGCUGAUCGCGUGUUUUCCCAGGAGAGAAGCCCUGAAUGCAGUGCUGUGGAAAGGCCUCCAGUCACCGCUUUUAUUUCUGGCAUGAUAGAGUCCACACUGCAGGAGAACCCUUGGAGUGUGAAGAAGAUCAGAGAGUCUUCUGUGACCUCUUUUCCCGAAGUCAGCACAAGGAGUCACAGUGGGGAAAACCUUGUGAACACAGUGAAUGUGGACGCACGCUCAGCCUUCAUUCAUCGCUCCCCCCGCCCCCUAAGUAUUCGUAUUGGGGAGAAACCCUGUGAGCGUCAGACAUGUGGGAAAGCCUUUCGCAAAUGGACUUCCCUCAGUCAGCACCAGAGAACUCAUACUGAGGAGAAGCCUUUUGAAUGUAAGUCCUGAGGAAACUCUUUGCCAGAGGAAACCUCCUGCCAAGCAUCUGAAAAAUUAUACCAAAGAGAAACCCCGUAAGUGUCAUCGUUGUGAGAAGAUCUUCUGAAGCGGUUCAUCACUUACUGUUGUAUGAUCCACCCAGCUAGGACCAUACUCUAUGAAUAAGAACUUACAAAGGAGAGAAAACCAGCAGUUGCUGUGUAAUUACAAAGCCUUCAGCCCUAGCUUGGUUUCAGUAUGCCCUGAAGAGUGAUUCCAGAGUAUUUUAAAAAAGAGAGCAAAGGCAUAAGGGAAGAGGAAGAAAAGAGGUAGAUGUGACAGAAAAAGGAGUACAUGUGGUUUCUUUCAGGUUUCCCUGUCAAACCCAUGACAAUUUGUUAGCAGUUUUAGGGGGGGCAGGUGGGAGCAGUAUGGGCGAGGUGAAGGGGCCUCCCCCCGCCACCUGACUUAAUACACUCCCGGCCAUUCCGUGUCAGGAGAGCUGGACACUUGGUGCAGCUCUGCAAAUAUUUACUGAAAUCCUUUUUUGUUUAAAAAAAAAAAAAAACAACCCUACUUAAUCAUUAAGUGUCAUAAGUCUUUGUGAUAAAUGUGAAGUCUUGAUUUAUGAAGCACUUAAAAACUUAAAAAAAAUUAGAAUACUAAAAAUAUUGUUACCUAAAAUUAUCUCAUAUUUAAGGAGCAAAGAACAAAUAUAUGAAUGGGUACAUUUUGCUGCACCAUUUAAGACCAUUUAAGGUUAUUUUUUCAUUUAUUCUGUAUUGAGAUAUAAUUGACAGAUCACAUAAUUGGCAUAUAACAUGUAAGUUUAAGGUGUUCAACAUUGAUCUUGUUGAAUUUAUAUUGCGACGUGAUUGUCAUUGUAGCAUUAACCUCUGUAUCCUGGUGGUAUCCUGUAUCCUGUGUUCCUAGUGGUGGGAGCAGUUCACAUCUAGUCUCUUGCCAAGUUUAAUGUUUGUAAUACAGUUUUGUUCCUUGUAACCCCUGUACCGUGUGUUAAAUCUCCAGGAGUUACUUAGUAGCUGCAAUUAUGUGCCCUUAAACAACAUCUCCCUGUCCCCUGCCAAGCCUUUGGUAACCCAUCAUUCCACUCUCUUAUUUGAGGUCAGAGUUUUUUGUUUUUCUUUUAAGAAUCUUCGUAUAAAAAAUUCAGUAUUUGUCUUCCUGUGUUUGACUUAUCUCACCUAGCGUAAUGUCCCCAAGGCCCAUCUGUAUUGUCAGAAAUGGCAGCAUUUCCUUUUUUCUGAUGGCUGAAUAACAUUCCACUGUGAAUAUAUACCACAUCUUCAUCCUUUGAUGGACACUUAGGCUGUCACUACAUCUUGUCUCUCGUGUACAAUGUUAAUAAACAUGGGAGUACAGAUA